rnacentral:lncRNA from 1 species
GAAAAUUUUGCCUGGUCCUCGGCCUCGUACUACCAAGAGGCCGUUGUGGAUUAUUAUCUUGGUUUCAAUGGUUAGCGUGUUCCUAAUAUGUGCCUACAUCUAUCCUCCUAGUGGCACAGCUGCCUGUUACAUAUUUUCUUCUAAGGGCUGCAAGGUUAUUACUGACUGGCUCCCACCUAUACCUGCAAGGGAAUAUAGUGAUGCUGAGAUCGCAUCACGUAUUGUUAUUAGAGAAAUUUUGAACACACCAUUUGUUACAGCAAAUACACCCAAAAUUGCAUUCUUAUUCU